GAGUUUGAUCAUGGCUCAGAUUGAACGCUGGCGGCAGGCCUAACACAUGCAAGUCGAGCGGUAGAGAGAAGCUUGCUUCUCUUGAGAGCGGCGGACGGGUGAGUAAUGCCUAGGAAUCUGCCUGGUAGUGGGGGAUAACGCUCGGAAACGGACGCUAAUACCGCAUACGUCCUACGGGAGAAAGCAGGGGACCUUCGGGCCUUGCGCUAUCAGAUGAGCCUAGGUCGGAUUAGCUAGUUGGUGAGGUAAUGGCUCACCAAGGCGACGAUCCGUAACUGGUCUGAGAGGAUGAUCAGUCACACUGGAACUGAGACACGGUCCAGACUCCUACGGGAGGCAGCAGUGGGGAAUAUUGGACAAUGGGCGAAAGCCUGAUCCAGCCAUGCCGCGUGUGUGAAGAAGGUCUUCGGAUUGUAAAGCACUUUAAGUUGGGAGGAAGGGCAGUAAUUAAUACUUUGCUG
rnacentral:rRNA from 1 species